CCUACGGGAGGCAGCAGUGAGGAAUAUUUGUCAAUGGGCGAGAGCCUGAACCAGCCAAGUCGCGUGAGGGAGUACUGCCCUAUGGGUUGUAAACCUCUUUUGUCGGGGAGCAAAAGCCGGACGUGUCCGGCUGUGAGAGUACCCGAAGAAAAAGCAUCGGCUAACUCCGUGCCAGCAGCAGCGGUAAUACGGAGGAUGCGAGCGUUAUCCGGAUUCAUUGGGUUUAAAGGGUGCGCAGGCGGGCCUUUAAGCCGGCGGGGAAAUCGCGGGGCUCAACCCCGCCGAGCCGUCGGAACUGGGGGCUUUGAGGGCGGCGGAGGCAUGCGGAAUGCGCGGUGUAGCGGUGAAAUGCAUAGAUAUCGCGCAGAACCCCGAGUGCGAAGGCAGCGUGCCGUGCCGCCACUGACGCUGAGGCACGAAAGCGCGGGGAUCGAACAGGAUUAGAUACCCGAGUAGUC
rnacentral:rRNA from 1 species